UGGCCUUGGUGCUAAAGUUGGUAUGGC
rnacentral:piRNA from 1 species